rnacentral:tRNA from 1 species
GGGGCGUAAUUUAACUGGUAAAAUAUAUGUUUUGCAAGCAUGUUUCGGCAGUUCGAGUCUGCCCGCUUCCA